ensembl:miRNA
CCGCGGCUCUUGAUUGUCCAAACGCAAUUCUCGAGUCUAUAGCUCUGGCCGAGAGUUGAGUCUGGACGUCCCGAGCCGUCGCC